rnacentral:rRNA from 1 species
CCUUGUACACACCGCCCGUCACACCAUGGGAGUGGGUUGCACCAGAAGUAGCUAGUCUAACCUUCGGGGGGACGGUUACCACGGUGUGAUUCAUGACUGGGGGUG